rnacentral:rRNA from 1 species
UUGGAGGGCAAGUCUGGUGCCAGCAGCCGCGGUAAUUCCAGCUCCAAUAGCGUAUAUUAAAGUUGUUGCAGUUAAAAAGCUCGUAGUUGAAUUUCGGGAUUGGCGCAUCGGUCGUGCCUCACGGGGUAUGAACUGGUGCAGUCAAUUUCUCACCUUCUGGAGAACCGCGAUGUCCUUAAUUGGGUGCCGCGAGAAACCAGGACCUUUACUUUGAAAAAAUUAGAGUGUUUAAAGCAGGCAUUUUUGCUUGAAUACAUUAGCAUGGAAUAAUAAAAUAGGACGGCAUGGUUCUAUUUUGUUGGUUUCUAGGACCACCGUAAUGAUUAAUAGGGAUAGUUGGGGGCAUUAGUAUUCAAUUGUUAGAGGUGAAAUUCUUGGAUUUAUUGAAGACUAACUACUGCGAAAGCAUUUGCCAAGGAUGUUUUCAUUAAUCAAGAACGAAAGUUAGGGGAUCGAAGACGAUCAGAUACCGUCGUAGUCUUAACCAUAAACUAUGCCGACUAGGAAUCAGACGAUGUUAAUUUUUUAAUGACUCGUUUGGCACCUUACGGGAAACCAAAGUGUUUGGGUUC